rnacentral:rRNA from 1 species
UAUUGCACACUGGGGGAAACCCUGAUGCACCGACGCCGCCUGAGUGAAGAAGUAUUUCGGUGUGUAAAGCUCUAGCAGCAGGGAAGAAAAUGACGGUGCCUGAUGAAGAAGCCCCGGCUAACUACGUGCCAGCAGCCGCGGUAAUACGUAGGGGGCAAGCGUUAUCCGGAUUUACUGGGUGUAAAGGGAGCGUAGACGGCAGCACAAGUCUGGAGUGAAAUGCCGGGGCUUAACCCCGGAACUGCUUUGGAAACUGUGCAGCUAGAGUGCAGGAGAGGUAAGUGGAAUUCCUAGUGUAGCGGUGAAAUGCGUAGAUAUUAGGAGGAACACCAGUGGCGAAGGCGGCUUACUGGACUGUAACUGACGUUGAGGCUCGAAAGCGUGGGGAGCAAACAGG